GACGAACGCUGGCGGCGUGCUUAACACAUGCAAGUCGAACGGAAAGGCCCUGCUUUUGUGGGGUGUUCGAGUGGCGAACGGGUGAGUAACACGUGAGUAACCUGCCCUUGACUUUGGGAUAACUUCAGGAAACUGGGGCUAAUACCGGAUAGGAGCUCCUGCUGCAUGGUGGGGGUUGGAAAGUUUCGGCGGUUGGGGAUGGACUCGCGGCUUAUCAGCUUGUUGGUGGGGUAGUGGCUUACCAAGGCUUUGACGGGUAGCCGGCCUGAGAGGGUGACCGGCCACCUUGGGACUGAGAUACGGCCCAGACUCCUACGGGGGGCAGCAGGGGGGAAUAUUGCACAAUGGGCGGAAGCCUGAUGCAGCAACGCCGCGUGCGGGAUGACGGCCUUCGGGUUGUAAACCGCUUUCGCCUGUGACGAAGCGUGAGUGACGGUAAUGGGUAAAGAAGCACCGGCUAACUCCGUG
rnacentral:rRNA from 1 species